GGUGAGAUGGCCGAGCGGCAAGGCAGCAGAUUGCUAAUCUGUAGGGUGUUAUAGCCCCGUGGGUUCGAAUCCCUCUCUCACCGCCA
rnacentral:tRNA from 1 species